AGCGAACGUUAGCGGCGGGCCUAACACAUGCAAGUCGAACGAGAAAGCCUUCGGGUGAGUAAAGUGGCGCACGGGUGAGGAACGCGUAGGUAAUCUACCCUCAGGCGGGGGACAACACUCCGAAAGGAAUGCUAAUACCGCAUGAGACCACACUCACUACGGUGAGAGAGGUAAAAGGCGCCUCAAAGCGCCACCAGAGGAUGAGCCUGCGUCCCAUCAGCUUGUUGGUAAGGUAACGGCUUACCAAGGUGAAGACGGGUAGCUGGUCUGAGAGGAUGAUCAGCCACACUGGUACUGGAACACGGACCAGACUCCUACGGGAGCAGCAGUGAGGAAUAUUGGGCAAUGGGCGCAAGCCUGACCCAGCCACGCCGCGUGUGUGAUGAAGGCCUUCGGGUCGUAAAGCACUGGUGGGAGAGACGAACAAGCGCAGUAGGAAAUGACUGCGCCCUGA
rnacentral:rRNA from 1 species